rnacentral:lncRNA from 1 species
CAACUCUCCUGGAGUUGAGGACUUCUGACAGGUGCUGGCCAGAUGGCAGCAUGGCCAGAGGGCAGCUCUGUCCACUGGGAGAACAUGUGGUGGCCCUGACUCAAAGCAGACCCGGGCUGGAGGUCACUGGCACUGAGGCAGAGGCACGUGGGCCCACUUGGGUCUGGAGCACUGCUUGAUUUGGCCAGGGCCAGGCUGGGACAUCCCUCUACAGUAACUCCAGGGAUGUCAAGUAGGACUUUACUAGCCCUUGCCGAGCCAAUGGGGUCCCUUCACUGGAAUGAGAUUCUUCCCUACAGUGAGAUGCAGAAAUUCCAAUGGCCACCUGAAGGAACUGGAGGAAGGGUGCAGCAGGCAACGGUGUCCAGAACACUUCCAACUAAGGCACAGGACAUGCUUUCCCCAAUUCCAGUUGGAGGAAGAACAGAAGCUCUGGGCAAGGAGACCCUGCUCAAGGCCCUACAAGCCACAUCCAGAAAGGGUCCCUGGUGAAGUACUCGGUGGGCCUCUGUUUCUCCAGGGUGGUUCACCUCCUUCACCCAGGGAAGCCAUAUCCCCACCUCUCACUGGAGGGGGAUCCAGUCCUCAAGCCACCAGCCAGACUGAGACAGUCCUUGUCCAUGGGACAACCUCCAGCUCAUGUCUGUCCUGCCUCAGUGGCCCAUGAACCAAUGUCUGCCUGAAUCAGGUGCACAUCAGAAGCACUGCUUUAUUAGAAGUAUUUCUAAUUUUCAUGUAGACCAACGUGUCACCUAUUUUACUGCUGGUGCUUCCCCUGUCCUGUUGAAGAAAAUGAAUUAUUAUCUCCUCUAUAUCUUCUAGCAGCUUUGCUGUUUCCCCUUUCACAUUUUUUUUAAAGUUUUCAAACAAUUUAAGGUCAUUUUGUAUUUAUAUCUGUAUCCACACAUGUACACACAAUGUAUAUAUCAAAUCCUUAUACAGUCAUAAAAAUAAAUUACAAGCAACAAAAUAAAAAGUUAAACUUAAUUUAGUGUAUUGUUUGCUUUUUAAAAAUAACUAAAAUAGAGUCACACUUUAUCUAACAUCAAUCAUUCUUUUUUUUGUUUUGGUUUUGUUUUUUUGGUCCCAGGGAUUGAACUCAGGACCUUGCACUUGCAAGGCAGGCACUGGAACCACUGAGCUAAAUCCCUGGCCCUUAACAUCAGUCAUUCUUAACAUAAAUGAUCCUGACUGGGGCAUACUUUUCUUUAUGCCACUUCAAUAGACCCUAAGU